GCAGAAGGCUGAAUCCAUCAGUGUGCACCACUCACCGGGAAAAGGACUGGCCAAGAACUGGAGUUCUACUCCCAAUGUGAGCAUCAGUCAAGGGAUGCAGGAGAGAAAUCAGCAGACGUUACCUCCCACUGAGACCAAGCAGGUAUUCAAGGCACAACGACACAGGAAACCUCAAGGUCACAACAGAUGAAGGAGUCCCCGGCCAGCCAUCAAUGCCAACAGAGCCAGUUGAUGUGAGGAAGAAUGAAAUGGAAAAACAAUUAGUCUAUAAAGAAAAAAGAGCCUGAAGAAAUAUGUUGCCUCUAAUUAAAAGGCAUAUCUCAUUGUACCGUGAAAUAGAAAGCAGUUUGAAGUUGAUAAAAAAGAAAAGAGGACGUAUUUAUAAAAUACAGUAUCUCCAAUCACAUAAUUCAUUGCACAAAAGAAAUGCUACCUUUUUCACAAAGUUAUGAUUUAAUAUGGCAUGAGUGUCUGUAGAAUUAUCCUGCCCUCUCCCUCAUCUUGCAUUCUAUGCCCCUGAAAACUUUUUUUUUCCAUAAAUGCUUUCCAAAGUCCAAAAGCAUAUAAAUCUUAUCGUUUUAAAAAUAUGAGGAAAUUUAUAAAAUAAAUACAAUAUGCAUAAUGUAGCUAAGGCACGUGGUCAGUAAGAAAUAUGGAUAAAUUAUCUGGAUGUGUACCUGUAGCAUUACACUUCCUUUAUAAGCAUUUCGUCUUCAUAUGACAACAAAAGAAACCAAAUAAAAAAUAGGAGUUCAGUUGGCCCAUUUACCCCAUUUGGUUGCUAGUAACUAAUUGAUCUAAAGAUCUAAUCCAAUCAAUUUUUGAAGGUAGACAAGUUGUUGGCUUCAACAGGAAGACUGGCUUAAUUUAUCUAGACUUCCACUGUCCUUUAUAAACCCCUUACACAACCCUCUAUACUGUAGUUUUCAAUGUACUUCCAAUAGUUUCCAUUUUUAUUUUCUGGUUCAUUUCACAUAUGAUUUCCAUAUGUUGACUUCAGUGAAGAAAUCAGGUUGGGUUCUAAUAUUUUGUGAUUCAACAGCAAUGUAACAGAUUAAGUUAAAAACGUAUAGGGAAAAAUCUUAGGUAUUGUGAAUCUGUAAAAUCUGUAAAACCUUUAUCAUGAAAAUGUUUUACAUGAAUACCAUUUGAAGAUAAGGAACAAAUG